rnacentral:misc_RNA from 1 species
AAGUCGUAACAAGGUUUCCGUAGGUGAACCUGCGGAAGGAUCAUUAACACGUAUCCAACGUUAAAACAACCCCCGUGAACUUUCAGCUUGCUCCUGCAGCCCCAUGAAAUCAGCAAUCCCUGGUAAAUCAUUGUUGACCAGCUUUUGAGUCAGGGACCUCUGCCGAAACGGCUGUUCAGUACCGAGCGCGGUGUAAGCGACCUGGCAUCCCCAAGCGAUCAGUGUCUGAAAGUGUCAUUGAUUGUGUAAGGAUGGCGCAGUAAACGAUUGCUAGAGGCCCACACGGCCGGCAACCGGGUCCCAGGGCUCACGCCCCUUUAUCACCCCACAGUUUCCGACUGGGCAGCCGAUAAUACGGACGCCGUAAAAAACUGAACAACUGUUAACAAUGGAUAUCUUGGUUCUC